AAAGACAGAUCGCAUGAUCAGCUUUUAAAAAGGACGGCGUAAAGCUGUCGCUAUGGGAGUGGCCCCGCGGUGCAUUAGCUAGUUGGUAAGGUAAAGGACUUACCAAGGCGAUGAUGCAUAGCCGAGUUGAGAGACUGAUCGGCCACAUUGGGACUGAGACACGGCCCAAACUCCUACGGGAGGCAGCAGUAGGGAAUCUUCCACAAUGGACGCAAGUCUGAUGGAGCAACGCCGCGUGAGUGAAGAAGGUUUUCGGAUCGUAAAGCUCUGUUGUUGGUGAAGAAGGAUAGAGGCAGUAACUGGCCUUUAUUUGACGGUAAUCAACCAGAAAGUCACGGCUAACUACGUGCCAGCAGCCGCGGUAAAU
rnacentral:rRNA from 1 species